rnacentral:rRNA from 1 species
UACGUAGGGGGCAAGCGUUGUCCGGAUUUAUUGGGCGUAAAGAGCGUGUAGGCGGCCAGAUAGGUCCGUUGUGAAAACUGGAGGCUUAACCUCCAGCGGUCGAUGGAAACCAUCUGGCUAGAGUCCGGGAGAGGAGAGUGGAAUUCCUGGUGUAGCGGUGAAAUGCGCAGAUAUCAGGAAGAACACCCGUGGCGAAAGCGGCUCUCUGGAACGGUACUGACGCUGGGACGCGAAAGCGUGGGGAGCGAACAGG